GCCGAUGUAACUCAGGGGUAGAGUAACGCCUUGGUAAGGCGUAAGUCAUGGGUUCAAAUCCCAUCAUCGGCUCCA
rnacentral:tRNA from 1 species